GAGUUUGAUCUUGGCUCAGAACGAACGCUGGCGGCAGGCCUAACACAUGCAAGUCGAACGCUGUAGCAAUACAGAGUGGCAGACGGGUGAGUAACGCGUGGGAACCUUCCCAAUGGUGCGGAAUAGCCCAGGGAAACUUGGGGUAAAUACCGCAUAAGCCCUUAGGGGGAAAGAUUUAUCGCCAUUGGAUGGGCCCGCGUCGGAUUAGCUAGUUGGUGAGGUAAUGGCUCACCAAGGCAACGAUCUGUAGCUGGUUUGAGAGAAUGACCAGCCACACUGGGACUGAGACACGGCCCAGACUCCUACGGGAGGCAGCAGUGGGGAAUCUUGGACAAUGGGCGCAAGCCUGAUCCAAGCCAUGCCGCGUGAGUGACGAAGGCCUUAGGGUUGUAAAGCUCUUUUUGCCGGGACGAUAAUGACGGUACCCGGAGAAUAAGUCCCGGCUAACUUCGUAGCCAGCAGCAGCCGCGGUAAU
rnacentral:rRNA from 2 species